rnacentral:lncRNA from 1 species
GUCAUUGUAUUUACCCAUAUUUUGUGCCUUAAUGUUAAUGCAUGUUCAACCUUGUUAUUGUUUAUACCCAAGGGAAAGGAAUCAUGACAUUCUUGUCAUUUUGCAUCUGUGUGUUCAUCUGAAUCCUAUACAACUUCACUUCCCCUUAAUCUAAAACUUCUAGAUACAAUAUUAGGUUCCCCUCAAUAUAAACCUUAUGAUUAUAUCUCUCUCUCUCCUUUUCAUAACCACUUUCAUAAUAAACUUUGACUUGUCUCUUUCUCAUAAAAUCAACCCCAACAAACCCAUUCUUACUUUUGAACCCGAAC